UGACUGUCUCCAUCUUUAUUUAAAGAGAU
rnacentral:piRNA from 1 species